rnacentral:lncRNA from 1 species
AUGGGGAGUGUGAAUCCUGACGAUCCAAGGACCAUCCUACCCCUUGCCCAUGGCGACCCCGCCGUCUUCCCCGUCUUCAGAACUAGCCUUGAUGCUGAAAACGCCAUUGUCGAUGCUCUGAGAACCGGUGAAUACAACUGCUAUUCACCUGGCGAUGGGGUUGAAGAAGCAAGAAGGUUAGCGAUACAUAUAUUUAUAUACACACACACACAUAUAUAUCGUUAUCUCAUCUAUAUCCUGUUGUUAAUUAAUUUGCGAUUGCAGAGCUCUUGCAAAGUACCUGAAUCGUGACCUGACAAACAAGUUAACAGGAGAUGACAUAUUCUUCGCGGUUGGAUGUAACCAAGCGAUUGAGAUAAUACUAACAGUGCUUCAACGUCCGGGUGCGAACAUUUUGCUGCCCCGACCCGGUUUCCCUCACUACGAGGC